rnacentral:rRNA from 1 species
GAGUUUGAUCGUGGCUCAGAACGAACGCUGGCGGCAUGCCUAACACAUGCAAGUCGAACGGGAUCCUGGUUUCGGCCAGGUGAGAGUGGCGGACGGGUGAGUAACGCGUGGGAACCUGCCCAGUGGUGGGGGAUAACUGCGGGAAACUGCAGCUAAUACCGCAUGAGCCCGAAAGGGGAAAGAUUCAUCGCCAUUGGAGGGGCCCGCGUUCGAUUAGGUAGUUGGUGGGGUAAUGGCCUACCAAGCCUGCGAUCGAUAGCUGGUCUGAGAGGAUGAUCAGCCACACUGGGACUGAGAUACGGCCCAGACUCCUACGGGAGGCAGCAGUGGGGAAUAUUGGACAAUGGGGGCAACCCUGAUCCAGCAAUGCCGCGUGAGUGAUG